rnacentral:rRNA from 1 species
UACGGAGGGUGCAAGCGUUAUCCGGAUUUACUGGGCUUAAAGGGCGCGUAGGUGGGUAAGUAAGUCAGUGGUGAAAUCUUCGAGCUUAACUCGGAAACUGCCAUUGAUACUAUUUAUCUUGAAUACUUUGGAGGUAAGCGGAAUAUGUCAUGUAGCGGUGAAAUGCUUAGAUAUGACAUAGAACACCAAUUGCGAAGGCAGCUUACUACACAGUUAUUGACACUGAGGCACGAAAGCGUGGGGAUCAAACAGG